rnacentral:rRNA from 1 species
GUGCCAGCAGCCGCGGUAAUACAGAGGUCCCAAGCGUUGUUCGGAUUCAUUGGGCGUAAAGGGUGCGUAGGUGGUGUCGUAAGUCGAAUGUGAAAUCCCGGAGCUCAACUCCGGAACUGCAUUCGAUACUGCGGCGCUCGAGGACUGUAGAGGAGAAUGGAAUUCACGGUGUAGCAGUGAAAUGCGUAGAUAUCGUGAGGAAGACCAGUGGCGAAGGCGAUUCUCUGGGCAGUUCCUGACACUGAGGCACGAAGGCCAGGGUAGCGAACGGGAUUAGAUACCCCGGUAGUCC